rnacentral:rRNA from 1 species
AGAGUUUGAUCCUGGCUCAGGACGAACGCUGGCGGCGUGCUUAACACAUGCAAGUCGAACGGAAAGGCCCUUCGGGGUACUCGAGUGGCGAACGGGUGAGUAACACGUGGGUGAUCUGCCCUGCACUUUGGGAUAAGCCUGGGAAACUGGGUCUAAUACCGAACAUGACCACGCUCUUCAUGGGGUGUGGUGGAAAGCUUUUGCGGUGUGGGAUGGGCCCGCGGCCUAUCAGCUUGUUGGUGGGGUAAUGGCCUACCAAGGCGACGACGGGUAGCCGGCCUGAGAGGGCGACCGGCCACACUGGGACUGAGAUACGGCCCAGACUCCUACGGGAGGCAGCAGUGGGGAAUAUUGCACAAUGGGCGCAAGCCUGAUGCAGCGACGCCGCGUGAGGGAUGACGGCCUUCGGGUUGUAAACCUCUUUCACCAGGGACGAAGCGCAAGUGACGGUACCUGGAGAAGAAGCACCGGCCAACUACGUGCCAGCAGCCGCGGUAAUACGUAGGGUGCGAGCGUUGUCCGGAAUUACUGGGCGUAAAGAGCUCGUAGGUGGUUUGUCGCGUUGUUCGUGAAAACUCACAGCUUAACUGUGGGCGUGCGGGCGAUACGGGCAGACUAGAGUACUGCAGGGGAGACUGGAAUUCCUGGUGUAGCGGUGGAAUGCGCAGAUAUCAGGAGGAACACCGGUGGCGAAGGCGGGUCUCUGGGCAGUAACUGACGCUGAGGAGCGAAAGCGUGGGGAGCGAACAGGAUUAGAUACCCUGGUAGUCCAA